UACGUAGGUGGCAAGCGUUGUCCGGAUUCAUUGGGCGUAAAGGGUGCGUAGGCGGCGCGGUAAGUCGGGUGUGAAAUCUCGGAGCUUAACUCCGAAACUGCAUUCGAUACUGCCGUGCUUGAGGACUGGAGAGGAGACUGGAAUUUACGGUGUAGCGGUGAAAUGCGUAGAUAUCGUAAGGAAGACCAGUGGCGAAGGCGGGUCUCUGGACAGUUCCUGACGCUGAGGCACGAAGGCCAGGGGAGCAAACGGG
rnacentral:rRNA from 1 species